CGAGGGAGAAAAGCGAAGGGAAUAGAUUCAGAUCAAAACGGCUAAGGCCGUCACAAAUCCACAGAGAGAGAGAGAGAGAGAGAGUGAAGAAGAGAGAUGUUAUCGGCGAUGGAGACCUUGGAAAAAAGGGCAAAGCGAUGAUGCAGAAAUCUCGGGAGCUUGCAAGAAAAGACGGAAUUUUUCUGCUGUGGGCUUGUGAAGUGGCGAGAGACGGAGAGUGACCAGGAACAAUUAACGCAGCAACACCACCGCCCCCUCUACAGGAGAGCAAAAAUUAAAGAGGAAGAACAAGAAUGGACGAAGACUGCCGCCCGACCGGAAC